GGCCUACCACGGCGACGACCGGUAGCCGGCCUGAGAGGGUGUCCGGCCACACUGGGACUGAUAUACGGCCCAGAGUCCUACGGGAGGCAGCACUGGGGUAUAUUGCGCAUUGGGCGCAAGCCUGAUGCAGCGACGCCGCGUGGGGGAUGACGGCCUUCGGGUUGUAAACCUCUUUCACCAUCGACGAAGGUCCGGGUUUUCUCGGAUUGACGGUAGGUGGAGAAGAAGCACCGGCCAACUACGUGCCAGCAGCCGCGGUAAUACGUAGGGUGCGAGCGUUGUCCGGAAUUACUGGGCGUAAAGAGCUCGUAGGUGGUUUGUCGCGUUGUUCGUGAAAUCUCACGGCUUAACUGUGAGCGUGCGGGCGAUACGGGCAGACUAGAGUACUGCAGGGGAGACUGGAAUUCCUGGUGUAGCGGUGGAAUGCGCAGAUAUCAGGAGGAACACCGGUGGCGAAGGCGGGUCUCUGGGCAGUAACUGACGCUGAGGAGCGAAAGCGUGGGGAGCGAACAGGAUUAGAUACCCUGGUAGUCCACGCCGUAAACGGUGGGUACUAGGUGUGGGUUUCCUUCCUUGGGAUCCGUGCCGUAGCUAACGCAUUAAGUACCCCGCCUGGGGAGUACGGCCGCAAGGCUAAAACUCAAAGGAAUUGACGGGGGCCCGCACAAGCGGCGGAGCAUGUGGAUUAAUUCGAUGCAACGCGAAGAACCUUACCUGGGUUUGACAUGCACAGGACGCGUCUAGAGAUAGGCG
rnacentral:rRNA from 1 species